rnacentral:misc_RNA from 1 species
AGCUUCCAAAACCAAGUGCACUAUCACACAUACACUUAGUAUACAUUAUCUAAAUUAUUUCUAUACACAUAAACACCUAUACCAACAUCUUAAACAACCAUUUACAAGUGAAAACAAACAACAAAUAGUAAGUUUCCAUGGCUACCGAAAUGGUGUACCACCAUUACUCCAUCAAACUUCAAAAUUUCUUCUAUAAAACAACUCCCUACAACAUCCACUCAAAGUUUAAUGAAGCAAGAUUGAAAAAUACACAUUUACCUCUUUUGGACUUCUUCAAAACUCCACCAAAACUUUCCUUUCUUGCUCCCAAAAUGUUGCCCAAGCUGUAUAGAACAACUUUAGUGAAGAAACCUAGAAGAACUAAUGGCUUGAUGAUGGUGGAUUAUCCUUUGCAUAGUGGACGGCCAUGGAAGACUUGGAGAAAGCUUGGUUUCGGCAAUGGAGAGAGUUUGAGGAAGAAGAUGGCUGUUUAGUGGAGGUGGCUGUCCAAAGCUUGGAUAUGUGUCACUUAUCUCUUGUUAGUGGAGCACUAAGUGAUUAAAAAAUAUAAUCAAAUGUUGGACUUUCAUUUAUCCAACAUUACACCCAUAAUUUUCCUUAUUUAUAUUAUGGACCACCAUUUUAAUUUUUAUGGUAUUUUAAAAGUUUAAUAUCAUUUAUUUUUA